rnacentral:misc_RNA from 1 species
AACACACACCAUAUUAUCGUCUCAUCAUCUUCCAUUUCUCCCCCAAUCUCCACAAAAAUGUCAUCGGCCAUAGUUUCAGGCUCAUCCUCCUCCUGCUCCGCCGCCUUCACCAGAUCCUCCAUCAGAUCCGCCCCUCUCUUCCCAUCUCCAAAACCCUCUGUUUCGCCAAACCCGCAGAAAAGCGCUUUUCAAGGGUUGUCGGUGCAGGAGGCCAAGAAAGGGG